AGUGAUCCUUCUAGACCAGAUACCACAGACUCCAUUAAUAUUUAAUUUGGAGUUCUUGACGAAUGUUUUAAAAAGAAAUCUAGAGACGAUGAUAUAGCGGUGGAGAUGAGAAUGGAAUUUAUCGCUUUUCGUAGAUAGAGGUGAAAGCUAGAUUGAUUGAUGGCUAAUUCGGCUUAUCAUCAGUCUACACCCACCGUUGAUGGAAGCAAAUUCAUAAGGUCGUUUUUUUACCCAUGUUUUUUGAUCUGUUAUAAUUUUGUAGUACCUAUAUACCUACCCUUUUACUAUCUUUAUUAUAUAAUAUAAUAUAAUAUAUUUAUUGAUUGAUCGUGAGAAGCCUCGAUCUCAUUUAAAGUCUAUAUAUACAACNAGAGAAAGGAUCGUUGUUCUUCAAGAGUGAUCCUUCUAGACCAGAUACCACAGACUCCAUUAAUAUUUAAUUUGGAGUUCUUGACGAAUGUUUUAAAAAGAAAUCUAGAGACGAUGAUAUAGCGGUGGAGAUGAGAAUGGAAUUUAUCGCUUUUCGUAGAUAGAGGUGAAAGCUAGAUUGAUUGAUGGCUAAUUCGGCUUAUCAUCAGUCUACACCCACCGUUGAUGGAAGCAAAUUCAUAAGGUCGUUUUUU
rnacentral:lncRNA from 1 species